AAAGUUUUAGUAUAAUUUAGUAUAUUUCAUUGUCAAUGAAAAGGUUUUAAAACUUUA
rnacentral:tRNA from 1 species